UACGGAGGGGGCUAGCGUUAUUCGGAAUUACUGGGCGUAAAGCGCACGUAGGCGGCUUUGUAAGUAAGAGGUGAAAGCCCGGAGCUCAACUCCGGAACUGCCUUUUAGACUGCAUCGCUUGAAUCCAGGAGAGGUGAGUGGAAUUCCGAGUGUAGAGGUGAAAUUCGUAGAUAUUCGGAAGAACACCAGUGGCGAAGGCGGCUCACUGGACUGGUAUUGACGCUGAGACGCGAAAGCGUGGGGAGCGAACAGG
rnacentral:rRNA from 1 species